UGAACAUCUGGUUUUCACAAAAAAUAGAAGGUUUGUGAAUAUUCAUCUAGUCUCCCCCUCAACGACUCGGGUUUGGACUCCAAGAAUCAUGUAUAGUGCAUGAACCAAGACCCUUAUCACUAGAUUUUAAGAGAUGUUUACCAAUGUUAGAACUGCAAAUGUUAUAUAUAAGCAAUUUAUUGUUGAAUUAAAGUUUCAAAAUGAUUAUGGUAUGAACCUACCAAUGUAUUAUCCAUAGACUUAUGCAUUUAUUAUUAACUUAAAAGUGAUUCCUUUCUUUUAUCACUGAAAUUGGAGGCUCUCAGUCUCAGUUUUUUAAAGAAUUAUAUUGAUUGCAGUUAUCUACAGCACAUUGAAUAUUUGACAUUCAUAUUGUAAGAAAAUUAUGGAAAACUCGAUUUGAUCAUCUAGUGGUUGAAAUAACUGCCAAGAUUGUAAAUUAUUUUUCAGCCCUAAACUAAAUGCUGUUGUUUUAUAAUUGACAUUUAAUAUACACUAACCAUUUAGUGUACUUACCCAGAAAUAAAUUACUAAAGAAUCA